rnacentral:ribozyme from 1 species
GUGCAUUGUUGUUUUUGUGUCUAUCUUUUUUCUCUUUCUCGAUCUUAUGUCUUAUGUGUGCAAAACCAGAAAGGAAGCGAGUUUCUAGUAGCAGCUGCGCAGAUGUAUGCUGCAUGGAAGGAAUACAACGGAGAAAAUGUUCUAAUGAUUAUUUCUCUUGUA